UACGUAGGGGGCGAGCGUUGCCCGGAUUCACUGGGCGUAAAGCGCGUGUAGGCGGUCUGUUAAGUCGGUUGUGAAAUCUCCGGGCUCAACUCGGAAACUGCGUCCGAUACUGGCAGACUUGAGGACGGUAGAGGUCGGUGGAAUACCCGGUGUACCGGUGAAAUGGGCAGAUAUCGGGUGGAACACCAGCGGCGAAGGCGGCCGACUGGGCCGUUCCUGACGCUGAGACGCGAAAGCCAGGGGAGCGAACCGG
rnacentral:misc_RNA from 1 species